CUACGGGGUGCACCAGCUAAGGAUCUUCUGCAAUGCACGCAAGUGUGACAGAGCGAACCAGAGUGCUUUCUUUUUGGAAAGCUUUUGCCAAAUCUAAAAAAUUUGGAGAAUAAGGACUGGGUAAGACGAGUGCCAGCCGCCGCGGUAAUACUCGCGGUCCAAGUCGCAGCCAUUUUUAUUGGGUCUAAAAUAUCCGUAGCUUGUUCAAUAAGUUUCUUGUGAAAUCUUAUCUCUUAAGGAUAAGGCGGGCAAGAAGUACUGUUGAGCUAGAGACUGGAAGGCGUAAGAAGUAUGUUCAAAGUAGCGGUAAAAUGUGUUAAUCUUGAACAGACUCACAACAGCGAAGGCAUCUUACGAGGACAGUUCUGACAGUGAGGGAUGAAGGCUAGGGGCGCAAAACGGAUUAGAUACCCGAGUAGUC
rnacentral:rRNA from 1 species